rnacentral:tRNA from 1 species
UAGCUCAGUUGGUAGAGCAUUGGCGCUUUCAACGCCAGGGUUGUGGGUUUGAUUCCCAC